CAGAGGUGAAAUUCUUCGGAUUUAUUCGAAGACUAACUACUCGCGAAAGCAUUUGCCAAGGAUGUUUUCAUUAAUCAAGAACGAAAGUUAGGGGAUCGAAGACGAUCAGAUACCGUCGUAGUCUUAACCAUAAACUAUGCCGACUAGGGAUCGGAUGAUGUUAAUUUUUAAUGACUCA
rnacentral:rRNA from 1 species